UACGGAGGGUGCAAGCGUUAUCCGGAUUCACUGGGUUUAAAGGGUGCGUAGGCGGGCCCUUAAGUCAGUGGUGAAAGCUCCGAGCUUAACUCGGAAACUGCCAUUGAUACUAUUUGUCUUGAAUACUGUGGAGGUCAGCGGAAUAUGUCAUGUAGCGGUGAAAUGCUUAGAUAUGACAUAGAACACCAAUUGCGAAGGCAGCUGGCUACACAAAUAUUGACACUGAGGCACGAAAGCGUGGGGAUCAAACAGG
rnacentral:rRNA from 1 species